AGAUUGAACGCUGGCGGCGUGCCUAACACAUGCAAGUCGAGCGGUAACAGGUGUAGCAAUACAUGCUGACGAGCGGCGAACGGGUGAGUAAUGCUUUGGAAUCUUCCCAGUAGUGGGGAAUAACCAGUCGAAAGAUUGGCUAAUACCGCAUACGUCUGUAAAGGGAAAGCGGGGGCUCGUAAGACCUCGCGCUAUUGGAUGAGCCAAAGUCGGAUUAGCUAGUUGGUGGGUAACGGCCUACCAAGGCGACAAUCCGUAGCUGGUCUGAGAGGACGACCAGCCACACCGGAACUGAGACACGGUCCGGACUCCUACGGGAGGCAGCAGUGGGGAAUAUUGGACAAUGGGGGAAACCCUGAUCCAGCGACGCCGCGUGUGUGAAGAAGGCCUGCGGGUUGUAAAGCACUUUUAGUGGGGACAAAAGCUACGGAUUAAUACUCUGUGGUCUUGAUUUAACCCAAGAGAAGCACCGGCUAACUCUGUGCCAGCAGCCGC
rnacentral:rRNA from 1 species